GGGGAUGUAGCCCAGUAGCAGAGCACUUGCCUAGUAAGCAUGGAGCCCUGGGUUCAAUUCCCAGUACCA
rnacentral:tRNA from 1 species